rnacentral:rRNA from 1 species
GACGAACGCUGGCGGCGUGCCUAAUACAUGCAAGUUGAGCGCUGAAGGUUGGUACUUGUACCAACUGGAUGAGCAGCGAACGGGUGAGUAACGCGUGGGGAAUCUGCCUUUGAGCGGGGGACAACAUUUGGAAACGAAUGCUAAUACCGCAUAAAAACUUUAAACACAAGUUUUAAGCUUGAAAGAUGCAAUUGCAUCACUCAAAGAUGAUCCCGCGUUGUAUUAGCUAGUUGGUGAAGUAAAGGCUCACCAAGGCGAUGAUACAUAGCCGACCUGAGAGGGUGAUCGGCCACAUUGGGACUGAGACACGGCCCAAACUCCUACGGGAGGCAGCAGUAGGGAAUCUUCGGCAAUGGACGAAAGUCUGACCGAGCAACGCCGCGUGAGUGAAGAAGGUUUUCGGAUCGUAAAACUCUGUUGGUAGAGAAGAACGUUGGUGAGAGUGGAAAGCUCAUCAAGUGACGGUAACUACCCAGAAAGGGACGGCUAACUACGUG